CUGCUCGCUUCGGCAGCACUUACACUAAAAUUGGAACGAUACAGAGAAGAUUAGCAUGGCCCCUGCACAAGGAUGACACACGAAUUCGUAAACAAAGCUGGUUAAG
rnacentral:snRNA from 1 species